GACGAACGCUGGCGGCGUGCUUAACACAUGCAAGUCGAACGGAAAGGCCCUGCUUUUGUGGGGUGCUCGAGUGGCGAACGGGUGAGUAACACGUGAGUAACCUGCCCUUGACUUUGGGAUAACUUCAGGAAACUGGGGCUAAUACCGGAUAGGAGCUCCUGCUGCAUGGGGGGGGUUGGAAAGUUUCGGCGGUUGGGGAUGGACUCGCGGCUUAUCAGCUGGUUGGUGGGGUAGUGGCUUACCAAGGCUUUGACGGGUAGCCGGCCUGGGAGGGUGACCGGCCACCUUGGGCCUGCGGUACGGCCCAGACGCCUACGGGAGGCAGCAGUGGGGAAUAUUGCACAGUGGGCGGAAGCCUGAUGCAGCAACGCCGCGUGCGGGAUGCCGGCCUUCGGGUUGUAAACCGCUUUCGCCUGUGACGAAGCGUGAGUGACGGUACUGGGUAAGGAAGCACCGGCUAACUACGUG
rnacentral:rRNA from 1 species